rnacentral:rRNA from 1 species
UACGGGGGGGGCAAGCGUUGUUCGGAAUUACUGGGCGUAAAGGGCUCGUAGGUGGUCAACUAAGUCGGACGUGAAAUCCCUCGGCUUAACCGGGGAACUGCGUCCGAUACUGGAUGACUUGAGUUCGGGAGGGGGAUGCGGAAUUCCAGGUGUAGCGGUGAAAUGCGUAGAUAUCGGGAGGAACACCAGUGGCGAAGGCGGCGACCUGGGCCAAUACUGACGCUGAGGUGCGAAAGCGUGGGGAGCAAACAGG